rnacentral:lncRNA from 1 species
AAAAUUUUCUAUGGGUUGUGGUCAUCCAACUUCCCAAGGUCAGUUGAACAGCCUGAAAUGGUGGCUUCUCAUUUUUUAAAUUUUCCAUCUUGACUUUGUGGGUAGAUGCCAUAUAAUCCAACAACGCCGAGUGCUGAGUGCUAAGCCCUGUCCCAGGCCUCCCUCCCAGGCUGUCACACUCCCCAGAGGGUCCCCCUGCACAGGUGCAGAUACACACUCCAGGCAUUCAGUCCCCCUCUGUGCAGGGCAGGAUGCUCACCUCCGUGCCCCUGCCAGGGGGGAGUGGCUCUGGGGCGCACUUCCGCCCACCAGGCUGCCACCGCUCUUUACACCGUCCCAAGAAACAGUUAGGAGGAAAGGAUUUGGAAACCUGGUGAAGGAAGCCACACACACCCCGGAGAAGAAGGUAGAGGGUGGCCCUAGGCUUCAUUUGGCAAGUCUUUAAAAAUGGAAUACUUAUGUAUUAAAAGGGAAAGGAGGGGCCAGGGCUAUAGCUCAGUUGGUAGAGGGCUUGCCUUGCAUGCACAAGGCCCUGGGCUCAAUCCCCAGGCCUACAAAAAGUGUCGGGGGAGGGGGGUAUUGGGAAUGGAGCCACCAUUUGACCCAGCUGUCCCUCUCCUCGGUCUAUACCCAAAGGACUUAAAAACAGCAUUCUACAGGGACACAGCCACAUCAAUGUUUACAGCAGCACAAUUCACAGUAGCUAAACUGCGGAGCCAACCUAGAUGCCCUUCAAUAGAUAAAUGGAUCAAAAAAAUGUGGCAUAUACACACAAUGGAAUAUUACUCAGCAAUAAAAGAGAGUAAAAUCAUGGCAUUUGCAGGUAAAUGGAUAGUUAGAGAAGAUAAUGCUAAGUGAAGUUGGCCAAUCCCAAAAACCAAAUGCUGAAUGUUUUCUCUGACGUAAGGAGGCUGAUUCAUAG